CCCGCGGCGCGGUCCCGGCGCGGUCCCGGGGCGGCGGCGGCGGCAGCGGAGCGGGGCGGGGGCGGCGGCGGCCCCGCAGACCCCCGGCACGCCGAGGAUGCUCGGGGGGGCCCCGCGAACCCCGCAAGAGCCCAGGGGCACCGCGAGUUGAGCUGCGGGGUCCCCGCGCCGCUGUCCCCCCCUCAAGAUGUCCUAUUUCACCGAGCACUUCUGGGGCGAGAAGAACCACGGCUUCGACGUGCUCUACCACAACAUGAAGCACGGGCAGAUCUCCACCAAGGAGCUCGCCGACUUCGUCCGGGAGAGGGCUGCCAUCGAGGAGAACUACGCCAAGGCCAUGGUGAAGCUCUCGAAGAUGGCCACCAACGGCACCCAGCUGGGGACCUUCGCCCCGCUCUGGGAGGUUUUCCGCAUCUCCUCGGACAAGCUGGCCCUGUGCCACCUGGAGCUGAUGAAGAAGCUGCACGACCUCAUCAAGGAGAUCUCCCGCUACGGCGAGGAGCAGGGCCGGGUGCACAAGAAGUCCAAGGAGGAGGUGUCGGGCACGCUGGAGGCCGUGCAGCUCCUGCACGGCGUGGCCCAGCUGCUGCCCAAGUCCAAGGAGAGCUACCACAGCAAGUGCCAGGAGUACGAGAGGCUGCGCAAGGAGGGCACCAGCCAGAAGGAGAUCGACAAGGCGGAGCUGAAGUCGCGCAAGGCGGGCGAGGCGCUGCGCAGGGCGGUGGAGAAGUACAACGCUGCCCGCGCCGACUUCGAGCAGCGCAUGCUGGACUCGGCCGUGCGCUUCCAGGAGGUGGAGGAAGCCCACCUGCGGCACAUGAAGGGGCUCAUCGGCUCCUACUCCCACUCCGUGGAGGACACCCACGUCCAGAUCGGCCAGGUCCACGAGGAGUUCAAGCAGAACGUGGAGAACAUCGGCACGGAGAUGCUGCUGCGGAGGUUUGCCGAGAGCAAGGGCACGGGGAGAGAGCGGCCAGGAGCGCUGGAUUUCGAGGAGUACCGGCUGGCUCCAGCGCAGGAAGGACCCAAGAGGAGCCGGAGCAAAGCGUUCCGGAUCCCGGGCCUGAGCCGUAAGGAGCGGGAGCGCGAUGCCGUGGAAUCCCCGGAUAACGACCUGGGCUGCCCGGAGGUGGACGAGGACGGCUUCACCGUGCGCCCGGACAUCGCCCGCGGCGAGGCGGAGACCGCCGGGUGCUCCUCCAGCGACUCGGACUACGACGAGGACGAGCCGCGCAAGUUCUACGUGCGCAUCAAGCCCGUGCAGCCGCGGGAGGCGCCCGGCAGCGCCGAGGCCGCCGUGGAGCAGCUCAAGGCCACCGUGGGGAAUCUCAUCCUGGCCCCCGGGGUUGUUGGGGGCACGGUCAGGAGGCAGGCGUCACGACACGCGGCAUCCCUGACCCCGGCCCCCGGUGACACGGACCCCGAGGGGACACUGGCGGCGGGUGACAGCGCGGGGCGGGGUCUCCCGGCGGCGCAGGUGAACAGCGGCCCCGGGAAGCCCCCCCAGGACCCGCUGCCCUCGGCCGCUCUCUUCGGGCCCCCCCUGGAGUCGGCGUUCGAAGCAGAGGAAUUCCCGGCCCCCCGCUCCUACGUCCUCACCUCGUCGUCGUCGCCCUUCUCCUCCUCGUCCCCGGAGAACGUGGAGGACUCGGGGCUGGACUCGCCCUCGCACCCCGCGCCCGGACCCUCGCCCGGACCCUCGCCCGGACCCUCGCCCAGACCCUCGCCCGACUCGCGGCCCUGGAGCCCCCAGCCGGGCACGCCGCAGAGCCCCGGCCCCAAACCGCCGCCCCCCGGCAGUGCCUGGCCCCCCCGGCCCCGCAGCCCCUCCGGCCGCCUCCCCGAGCCCCCCAGCUUCGCCGUUUUCAGCGGCCCCGGCGCCGAGGGGCUCUGGGGGGACGCGGGGGCCGCGCCCCGGGGUCGCAGCCGCUGCCUCAGCGGCCCCACCCCACGUGAAGCCCCCUCCCCGGAUCCCUUCGGGGAGCCCCCGGCGUGGGGCAGAGCCCGCAGCCCCGGCGGGGAGCAGCCCCCGCUGACGCGGCCUUCCUCCAACUCGGCCUCCUCCUCAUCCUCCUCGCCGGCCCCCCCGAGCGGGGGGGAGUCCUCCAGCCCCUCCCCCUGGGGCUGCCAGGGGCCGGGGGCGAGGCUGAGCGAGGGGGGGCCCGGCGGGGACGCCCCCCCUGCAGUCGGAGCCGGAUUCCGCCCCCUCCUGGCCCGGCGCCGCCCACCGGGACGUUCCUCUCGUGGCCCCCCCGCGCCGCUCCCGCUCCAAGCGGCCGCCGGCGGGGCCGGCCGCGGGCAGCAACAGCGACCUGUCGCGCUCGCUGAGCCCCUCGCCCUCCUGGAGCUGCGGCCCCUCGCACUCCGCCCCCGCCAGCCUGGGCGAGCGCGGCUUCUUCUCCGCGGCGCCGCCCGCGCUCGGGCUGUCGCGGGGCCCCAGCCCGGUGGUGCUGGGCUCGCAGGACGCGCUGCCCGUGGCCGCCGCCUUCACCGAGUACGUGCACGCCUACUUCAAGGGCCGCGACGCCGACAGCUGCCUGGUGAAGGUGACAGGCGAGCUGACCAUGUCCUUCCCCGCGGGCAUCGUGCGCGUCUUCGGCGGCGCCGCCGCCCCGCCCGUGCUCAGCUUCAGGCUGCUCAACGCGGGCGCCAUCGAGCAGUUCCUGCCCAACGCCGAGCUGCUCUACAGCGACCCCUCGCAGAGCGACCCCAGCACCAAGGACUUCUGGCUGAACAUGGCAGCGCUGACGGGGCAGCUGCAGCGGCAGGCGGAGCAGAGCCCGGCCGCCUCCUACUACAACGUGGCUCUGCUCAAGUACCAGUUCUCGCGGCUGGGCCCCGGCGCGGCGCCGCUGCGGCUCUGCGUGCGCUGGGACUGCGCGCCCGGCUCCACGCGGGUCAGCGUCGAGUACGGCUACAACGCGGCCGCCCUGGCGCUGCCCGUGCCCCUGGGCAACGUGCACGUCCUGCUGCCCCUCGAGGAGCCCCUCAGCAACCUGCGGCUGCAGCCCGCGGGCAGCUGGAACCUGGAGGAGAAGCGGCUGCUCUGGAAGCUGCUGGACAUCCCCGGCGCCCCGGGGCAGGGAGGCUGCGGGCGGCUCUGGGCCAGCUGGGAGCCGCGGGGCGGGCCCAGUAAGCCCAGUCCCGUGGCCGCCCAGUUCAGCAGCGAGGGCAGCACCUUGUCGGGGGUGGAGGUGGAGCUGGCGGGCGCCGGGUACCGCAUGUCGCUGGUCAAGAAGAGGUUUGCUACAGGGAUUUACCUGGCGGGGUCCUGAGCGGCUCCCGGACCCCCCCGAGCCCCUCCCGGGCUUUUCCCGUGGUUGUGUGAAUUUGGAAACACUGGAUGGAGGCGGGCUGGGGAGGGGCCGCCUCCCCUUCCUCCCCCUCCUCCUCUUCCUCCUCCUCCUGCUCCUGCUCCCGUCCCUGUCGCUGUCCCCGCGCCCUCCCCCGUGCUGUGAAGGGAGCAGGAGCUGCUCUUUUAUUAAACACUUUAUUUUCUAAUA